rnacentral:rRNA from 1 species
GACAUAGGUGGCGAACGUUAUCCGGAAUUAUUGGGCGUAAAGGAUGCGUAGAUGGUAGAAUAAGUUAUUGGUCGAUGCCAAACUCAAUUUGGCGGAAGCUGGUAAUACUGUUCAACUAGAGGACAGGAGAGGUUGAUGGAAUUCUGUGUGGAGCGGUGAAAUGCGUUGAUCUACAGAGGAACACCAAAAAAGGCGAAGGCAGUCAACUAUUCUGUUCCUGACAUUGAGGCAUGAAAGCGUGGGGAGCAAACCGG